UUAAGCGAACAAGCGUACACGGUGGAUGCCCUGGCAGUCAGAGGCGAUGAAGGACGUGCUAAUCUGCGAAAAGCGCCGGUAAGGUGAUAUGAACCGUUAUAACCGGCGAUGUCCGAAUGGGGAAACCCGGUGCACUUCGGUGCAUCAUCGUUAGCUGAAUACAUAGGCUAACGAGGCGAACCGGGGGAACUGAAACAUCUAAGUACCCCGAGGAAAAGAAAUCAACCGAGAUUCCCCCAGUAGCGGCGAGCGAACGGGGAACAGCCCAGAGCCUGAAUCAGCUUGUGUGUCAGUGGAACGGUCUGGAAAGGCCGGCGAUACAGGGUGACAGCCCCGUACACGAAGGCACACAGGCUGUGAGCUCGAUGAGUAGGGCGGGACACGUGAUAUCCUGUCUGAAGAUGGGGGGACCAUCCUCCAAGGCUAAAUACUCCUGACUGACCGAUAGUGAACCAGUACCGUGAGGGAAAGGCGAAAAGAACCCCGGCGAGGGGAGUGAAACAGAACCUGAAACCGUGUACGUACAAGCAGUGGGAGCCUUCGUAAGAGGGUGACUGCGUACCUUUUGUAUAAUGGGUCAGCGACUUAUAUUCUGUAGCAAGGUUAACCGUAUAGGGGAGCCGAAGGGAAACCGAGUCUUAAUUGGGCGUUAAGUUGCAGGGUAUAGACCCGAAACCCGGUGAUCUAGCCAUGGGCAGGUUGAAGGUUGGGUAACACUAACUGGAGGACCGAACCGACUAAUGUUGAAAAAUUAGCGGAUGACCUGUGGCUGGGGGUGAAAGGCCAAUCAAACCGGGAGAUAGCUGGUUCUCCCCGAAAGCUAUUUAGGUAGCGCCUCGUGAAUUCAUCUCCGGGGGUAGAGCACUGUUUCGGCUAGGGGGCCAUCCCGGCUUACCAACCCGAUGCAAACUGCGAAUACCGGAGAAUGUUAUCACGGGAGACACACGGCGGGUGCUAACGUCCGUCGUGAAGAGGGAAACAACCCAGACCGCCAGCUAAGGUCCCAAAGUUAUGGUUAAGUGGGAAACGAUGUGGGAAGGCCCAGACAGCCAGGAUGUUGGCUUAGAAGCAGCCAUCAUUUAAAGAAAGCGUAAUAGCUCACUGGUCGAGUCGGCCUGCGCGGAAGAUGUAACGGGGCUAAACCAUGCACCGAAGCUGCGGCAGCGACACUAUGUGUUGUUGGGUAGGGGAGCGUUCUGUAAGCCUGUGAAGGUGUGCUGUGAGGCAUGCUGGAGGUAUCAGAAGUGCGAAUGCUGACAUAAGUAACGAUAAAGCGGGUGAAAAGCCCGCUCGCCGGAAGACCAAGGGUUCCUGUCCAACGUUAAUCGGGGCAGGGUGAGUCGACCCCUAAGGCGAGGCCGAAAGGCGUAGUCGAUGGGAAACAGGUUAAUAUUCCUGUACUUGGUGUUACUGCGAAGGGGGGACGGAGAAGGCUAUGUCGGCCGGGCGACGGUUGUCCCGGUUUAAGCGUGUAGGCUGACUUUCCAGGCAAAUCCGGAAGGUUAAGGCUGAGGCGUGAUGACGAGGCACCACGGUGCUGAAGUGACAAAUGCCCUGCUUCCAGGAAAAGCCUCUAAGCAUCAGGUAACAUCAAAUCGUACCCCAAACCGACACAGGUGGUCAGGUAGAGAAUACCAAGGCGCUUGAGAGAACUCGGGUGAAGGAACUAGGCAAAAUGGUGCCGUAACUUCGGGAGAAGGCACGCUGACAUGUAGGUGAAGCCCCUGCGGGUGGAGCUGAAGUCAGUCGAAGAUACCAGCUGGCUGCAACUGUUUAUUAAAAACACAGCACUGUGCAAACACGAAAGUGGACGUAUACGGUGUGACGCCUGCCCGGUGCCGGAAGGUUAAUUGAUGGGGUUAUCGCAAGAGAAGCUCCUGAUCGAAGCCCCGGUAAACGGCGGCCGUAACUAUAACGGUCCUAAGGUAGCGAAAUUCCUUGUCGGGUAAGUUCCGACCUGCACGAAUGGCGUAAUGAUGGCCAGGCUGUCUCCACCCGAGACUCAGUGAAAUUGAACUCGCUGUGAAGAUGCAGUGUACCCGCGGCAAGACGGAAAGACCCCGUGAACCUUUACUACAGCUUGACACUGAACAUUGAGCCUUGAUGUGUAGGAUAGGUGGGAGGCUUUGAAGCGUGGACGCCAGUCUGCGUGGAGCCGACCUUGAAAUACCACCCUUUAAUGUUUGAUGUUCUAACCUGGCGCCGUGAUCCGGCGUGGGGACAGUGUCUGGUGGGUAGUUUGACUGGGGCGGUCUCCUCCCAAAGUGUAACGGAGGAGCACGAAGGUCAGCUAAUCCUGGUCGGACAUCAGGAGGUUAGUGCAAUGGCAUAAGCUGGCUUGACUGCGAGAGUGACGGCUCGAGCAGGUGCGAAAGCAGGUCAUAGUGAUCCGGUGGUUCUGUAUGGAAGGGCCAUCGCUCAACGGAUAAAAGGUACUCCGGGGAUAACAGGCUGAUACCGCCCAAGAGUUCAUAUCGACGGCGGUGUUUGGCACCUCGAUGUCGGCUCAUCACAUCCUGGGGCUGAAGUAGGUCCCAAGGGUAUGGCUGUUCGCCAUUUAAAGUGGUACGCGAGCUGGGUUUAGAACGUCGUGAGACAGUUCGGUCCCUAUCUGCCGUGGGCGCUGGAGAAUUGAGGGGGGCUGCUCCCAGUACGAGAGGACCGGAGUGGACGCAUCACUGGUGUUCGGGUUGUCAUGCCAAUGGCACUGCCCGGUAGCUAAAUGCGGAAGAGAUAAGUGCUGAAAGCAUCUAAGCACGAAACUUGCCCCGAGAUGAGUUCUCCCUGAGACUGUAAGUCUCCUGAAGGAACGUUGAAGACGACGACGUUGAUAGGCCGGGUGUGUAAGCGCAGCGAUGCGUUGAGCUAACCGGUACUAAUGAACCGUGAGGCUUAACCUU
rnacentral:rRNA from 1 species